CGCCUCGGUCCUCCCCCGGCCGGGUCCCGGCCCCGGGAAAGGCAGCUGAGGUUUGGCCCGCUCCACCUCUCAACCUGGGAGGUCCAGGGGCGCCUGCGCGGAAAAGCCGCCCGGAAAAGGCUGCAAAAGCAAAAACUAAGAACAAGUUCAGAGAGGUAGAUGGUAAACUGGUUGAGCGAACGCAGUGUUCUUGUUCCCUGCUGUAUCCCCAACAUCCAGCCUAUGGGACAUCUCAACAGAUUUUGAACGAAGGACGGGAGGACAGAAGGAAUGCCGCCUGUAGCAUCUUACCAUAUGGGCACAGUUGGCUCUCCAUCUCAAACCUCUCUUCUGAUUUUCAGGCCAAUAUGGCCAAACGUCUGUUGGACAUCCUCACUCAGUCACCUCAAACCCCAUGAAUUCAAAUUUCACCUUAUGUUCUUCCAUCAGCUCACUUUUUUCCUGGUGAAGGGCGCUGCCAUCCAUCCUGUUGGUCCAGCUAGAAAUCUGAGGAAUCUCCCUCUUCUUCAUACCCCAAAGUUUCUCAUACACUUAAUUGCGCUUACCUCCUAAUUGUCUUUCAAAUCCAUCCAUUCACCCCCAUCCCCAUUGCCACAAUUCAUGCACUUACCCCCUCUCGGCAGAAUUUCUCCAGUAACUCCAAACUCCCGUGACUGUCUCCAGUUGUGAUCCCUCUAAUGCGUUCUUCACAAAACCAAAGUGAUUUUUAUAAUUUUCAACACCUGUGAAAAGAAGGGAAUUUAAAAUUGAUUAAUUAAACCUGAUCCUGUCACAACCCAACAAUGAUUAAAAUCCAUCAAUGAUGUCCCAUUGCUCUUAGAAUAAAGCUAAUGUCCUUAAAAUGGCCUCUGAGACCCUCCAGCAUGACCCCUUCUUCAGGUAUGCCUUGUACUGCUAUCCCUUAGUUCUCCCCAUGCUGACUCUUCUCAGUUUAUCAAAUAUGCCGUGUCUCCGCCGGGCGCGGUGGCUCACACCUGUAAUCCCAGCACGUGGGGAGGCUGAGGCGGAUGGAUCACCUGAGGUCAGGAGUUCGAGACCAGCCUGGCCAACAUGGUGAAAUCCCGUCUCUACUGAAGAUACAAAAAAAGUAGCUGGGUGUGGUGGUGCGCACCUAUAGUCCCAGCUACUCAGUAGGGUAAGUCAGGAAAAUCGCUUGAACCUGGGAAGCAGAGGUUGCAGUGAGCAGAGAUUGCACCACUGCACUCCAGCCUGGGCGACAGAGCCAGACUCCAUCUCAAAAACAGAACACAACAAAACAAAACAUGCCAUGUCUCUUAAGAGUUCAGCCCCCUGCCUGGAUCAUGCUUCUCCUCUUUGCUGGGCUAAUGUCCAUUUAUCCCUCAGGAGUCACUUUAGUGUCCCUAUCUCGAAAUAUUUCCUGAUGUCACAAAUCUAGGUUGGGAGACCCACCUCUGAGCUCCUAAAGCACUCUGUCCUUCCACUAUCAAAGCACUUACCACGGUGUUGUAUAAUGGCCUGUGGACUCAUCUGCCUCCCCG
rnacentral:lncRNA from 1 species